rnacentral:tRNA from 2 species
GGAAAGAUGCCGGAGUGGUCGAUCGGGACGGUCUCGAAAACCGUUGUACGCUUACGCGUACCCAGGGUUCGAAUCCCUGUCUUUCCG